AAACGUUUCAGAAAUAGUUGAGAUUUUCAAACUUCUAAAACGCAAACAAGGCAAGCGAGUAUAUAUUAUUCGGUUGCGGUUAGAUUCUCAUGAGCAGAACACAGAUGUAUCAUUCGAUUACCGCCAGAUGGGUACGUGUUUUUGCCAAAUUCUCAUUCCAUUUAACAAAUUUUUUUAUUGUUUCGUAUUAUUAUGAAAUUUUAUUUUUAUUUUCAGGUACCACAAAUCAAUUUGUCCCAAGUAUCUAAAGAUCUAAUUACCGUAUUGCAUGAUGCAGAAGCUUCACGAAAAAUUAUACUGCACAUGGAUAACUGGAAUAAUAGAAACGUUUCGGAAAUAGUUGAGAUUUUCAAACUUCUAUAACGCAAACAAGGCAAGCGAGUGUAUAUUAUUCGGUUGCGGUUAGAUUCUCAUGAGCAGAACACAGAUGUACCAUUGGAUUACCGCCAGAUGAGUAGGUGUUUUUGCCAAAUUCUCAUUUCAUUUAACAAAUUUUUUUAUUGUAUCGUAUCAAUAUGUGAUUUUUAUUUUUAUUUUCAGGCACUACAAAUCAAUUUGUCCCAAGUACCUAGAGAUCUAAUUACCGUAUUGCAUGAUGCAGAAGCUUUACAAAAAAUUAUACUGCACAUGGAUAGCUGGAUUGAUAAAAACGUUUCAGAAAUAGUUGAUAUUUUCAAACUUCUAAAACGCAAACAAGGCAAGCGAGUGUAUAUUAUUCGGGUUGCGUCUAGAUUUUCAUACGCAGAACACAGAUGUACCAUUCAAUUACCGACACAUGAGUACCACAAAUCAAUUUGUUUCAAGUAUCUAAAGAUCUAAUUACCGUAUUGCAUGAUGCAGAAGCUUUACAAAAAAUUAUACUACACAUGGAUAACUGGAUUAAUGGAAACGUUUCAGAAAUAGUUGAGGUUUUCAAACUUCUGAAACGCAAACAAGGCAAGCGAGUGUAUAUUAUUCGGUUGCGGUUAGAUUCUCAAGAGCAGAACACAGAUGUACCAUUCGAUUACCGCCGGACGAGUACUACAAAUCAAUUUGUCUCAAGUAUCUGAAGAUCUAAUCACUGUAUUGCAUACUGCAGAAGCUUUACAAAAAAUUAUACUGCACAUGGAUAACUGGAAUAAUGGAAACGUUUCAGAAAUAGUUGAGAUUUUCAAACUUCUAAAACGCAAGCAAGGCAAGCGAGUGUAUAUUAUACGGUUGCGGUUAGAUUCUCAUGAGCAGAACACAGAUGUACCAUUCGAUUACCGCCAGAUGGGUACUACAAAUCAAUUUGUCCCAAGUAUCUCAAGAUCUAAUUACCGUAUUGCAUGAUGCAGAAGCUUUACAAAAAUUAUACUGCACAUUGAUAACUGGAUUAAUGGAAACGUUUCAAAAAUAGUUGAGAUUUUCAAACUUCUAAAACGCAAACAAGGCAAGCGAGUGUAUAUUAUUCGGUUGCGGUUAGAUUCUCAUGAGCAAAACACAGAUGUACGUAACUGCUUUACAGAUACCUUCUUCACCCCCGUACGGUUUCCUCUCAGUUCAGAGACUUUUAAGCGGAGUGGGAGAUAACCGGCGCCAAGGAGGAUUUUUUUAAGGAAAUCAUCGAACUGUUGCAACAUUUUUCCAGUUACAAUCAAAGUUUUGCUCCUGUCGCCAAUACAUACAGUGGACAUUGUUUAAUACUUUUUGAACACUACAUUAUCACCGUGAACUGCCAAUAAAGGAGAUAUUUGAUAUUCUCAACGAUACAUUGUUGAAUUCAGAAUUGAGAGG
rnacentral:lncRNA from 1 species